GGCAGUUUGGCGGAGUGGUUCAACGCGAUUGACUGGAAAUCAAUUGUCUAAGUCUUUUUCUAAUCCGAUUUUUUGGUUGGAUCUUCUU
rnacentral:tRNA from 1 species